rnacentral:rRNA from 11 species
AGUGGCGACUUCCUCUGUAACGGUCGUAACGUAGCAAAAUUCCUUGGUGGGUAAGUUCCAUCCAGCAUGAACGGUAAAACGAUUCCCUUCUGUCGCUACGCUUGAUUUUGAGAAAUUGUAUAAUCCUUCAAUAUUUGGGUAAGAAGGUAUCGACGGUAAGCCCCUCAGCA